CUGAGUUCCUUGCUCCCUAUGGCAUUCCCACUUCCGUUCAGGCUUUGUCACGCGUAAUGUGUUGAAUACCUCAAGGCUAACUUGUUGUUUUUAUAGUCUUAGAGAGGCGAAUUGGCGCUGGAGAUUGGUGCUAGUGGCUGAAUGAUGUGUGUGUAUAUCGAGCUGCGGUACCUGUGAGUGAUCAUACAACUUUGUGUCUGGUAUUUGUUCAAGCUAAUGGAGGUAGUGAGUCUUGGUGGGAAAGCUAGCUGCAUUUAUUCGGUGGUGUGUGCUCAGCGUGCCAACACAACAACCAACAACGUGUGUGUGUGUGUGUGUGUGUGUGUGUGUGUGUGUGUGUGUGUGUGUGUGUGUGUGUGUGUGUGUGUGGUUUUUCUUUUAUUUUUGUGUGUGAGACUUGCAGUGGGUUUGGAUGACUUCCUGAGUUGUAGCUGGCCUGCCUUGUCCCUACCGGGCCUGGAGAAGUUCUUAGUCUUUAAAAUGCUUGUGCUUCAUGGGAAAGUGAUUGAUUUAUAUUUUCAUGUCAAGUUUUAAAUGAUACUUAAGUGUCAUAAUAAAAUAUAAUUCUUAUAUUUGUA